UACGAACGCUGGCGGCGUGCUUAACACAUGCAAGUCGAGCGGUAAGGCCCUUUCGGGGGUACGACGAGCGGCGAACGGGUGAGUAACACGUGGGUGACCUGCCCUCCAGCUCUGGGAUAAAGCCUGGGAAACCGGGUCUAAUACUGGAUAUGACUCCAUGACGCAUGUUGUGGGGUGGAAAGCCUUGUGCGGCUGAGGAUGGGCCCGCGGCCUAUCAGCUUGUUGGUGGGGUGGAUGGCCUACCAAGGCGACGACGGGUAGCCGGCCUGAGAGGGCGACCGGCCACACUGGGACUGAGACACGGCCCAGACUCCUACGGGAGGGCAGCAGUGGGGAAUCUUGCGCAAUGGGCGAAAGCCUGACGCAGCGACGCCGCGUGAGGGAUGACGGCCUGU
rnacentral:rRNA from 1 species